UACGUAGGGUGCGAGCGUUAAUCGGAAUUACUGGGCGUAAAGGGUGCGCAGGCGGCGUCGCAAGUCAGGCGUGAAAUCCCCGGGCUUAACCUGGGAAUGGCGAUGGAGACUGCGAGGCUAGAGUUUGGCAGAGGGGGGUAGAAUUCCACGUGUAGCAGUGAAAUGCGUAGAGAUGUGGAGGAACACCGAUGGCGAAGGCAGCCCCCUGGGUCAAAACUGACGCUCAUGCACGAAAGCGUGGGGAGCAAACAGG
rnacentral:rRNA from 1 species